rnacentral:other from 1 species
GAUUCCCUGCUCAGCCCGUGAUGUGUCGAGUCAUUUGAGCCAACACUCUGACUGUGGGACUUCGCGUUCCCGUGCAGCGGUCAAGCCCGCAAGGGACGGCCAAAGCUAAGGACAGGAGACCCAACCUGAAGCAAUGGUUCAAUUGCUUCCGGCCACACGACUCGGCGGGGGAUCU